GGCGGGUUCCUGGCUCGGCUCUACCACCAUGGAUCUAGGUGGGCUCAAUGUCAUCACAAGGGUGCUUAAGAGGGAAAGAGGAAGCCAUGAGGGUCAGAGUCAAAGGAAGACUUGAAGAUACUACACUGCGGACUUUACAGAUGAAGGAAGGGGCGAAAACCAAGAAUGUGGGAAGCCUCUAGAAGCUAGAGAAGGCAAGGAAACAAAUUUUCCACUAGAGCCUCCAGAAGGAACACAGCCCUGCUGACCCACUGUAAUGUCUGACCUCUAGAUGUGUAAGGGUAGUAAGACUGAAAGUCUCAGAAAGGCACUGUUACAUUCUUAUUCCACAACUAUGCAACUCGAAACUGGGGUCCUCAGCAGUGAGCGAGGGGUGAGAGAAGACACUGUAUAAACAUGGCACAUCCUCCUGGAAAGUCAACUUUACUCAAAGGUUCUUACACACAGUGACAGCUAGCAGAGUCUAAAAUGCUGACAUUAUGACUUAGAGAUGUGAUAAAGAGAAACAUCUACUGCAUUUUCUUGGCUCGUGUGGAAUGACUUAUCCUGGAAUUUAGAGUUGAAGAUAAUCCUGAUGCUUCAAAGAGAAGAGUUGAAACACAGUCCUUUUUCUAAACAGAGGAAUUGUUGAAUAUGCGACUGAACCUCCGACUUAACUAAUUAGUUAAUUUGGAGCAGAGUUUGAACACAGUCCUUUUUCUAAACAGAGGAAUUGUUGAAUAUGCAACUGGUCCUCUGACUUAACUAAUUAUUUAAUUUGGAAGUUAUAGGUUUUUUAUUACUUGAGGAGCAGCUUUCUCUGAACAAAUACAGUGUCCCCUGGGGUGUCCAAAUUGUGACAGAAAAGUAGAGCCAGCUUGAAACUAGCUAGUCAUCACAUAGUGGCAUCAUGUGAAUGAAGACUCCCCCAAAUCUGUGACCCUCUUCUAUCCUUAUGGACUAAUUCAAUAAAUAAAUGAGCACUUUCUCAGUUCCCAAACUGAGAGCAUUUUAAAAAAAUAAUGAGAGCACAGAUAUCUAUUUAGAGAGAUGGCGAGAUAGAGGAGAGAGCAAGUUGCACACCACGAAACAAAGGGAAAGAUAAGAAGAGAGAGUGUGUCACUACUUCCCCGUGGCAGAAUCACAAUCUUCUUUUGGAUGUCAUGUUGAAAAGAUUCCCAAUUCGUAGUUCUGUGAGCUAAAGCAGAUGGAUGCUCCAUGUUGGUACAAAUUCCUAUUUGAAGCAGUGUGGUUGCAAAGAUGGGGUUUGGGUCAUUUGAUUUUCUCCGAAAAACAAUCUUGUGUAACUGUUAAAAGAAUUUAUAAUACCCAAUGCAAUGUAUCAUCCAUGAUGCUUCUUCAAAAAUGUUAAAUAAAUGCUGAAACCAGUGUUUCAAA
rnacentral:lncRNA from 1 species